CCCUUAGAUGCUCUGGGCCGCACGCGCGCUACACUGGUCGAUGCAACGAGUUUCUUUCCUUGGCCGACAGGCCUGGGCAAUCUUUGAACAUCGAUCGUGAUCGGGAUAGAUUCUUGUAAUUUUUGAUCUUAAACGAGGAAUUCCUAGUAAACGCAAGUCAUCAGCUUGCAUUGAUUACGUCCCUGCCCUUUGUACACACCGCCCGUCGCACCUACCGAUUGAAUGACUCGGUGAAAAAUUGGGACUGUGAUUGAAAUUGCUUCAUUGCGAAUUUAAUCAUGGAAACUUUCUUUAACCUAGGCAUUUAGAGGAAGGUGAAGUCGUAACA
rnacentral:rRNA from 1 species